rnacentral:lncRNA from 1 species
CCUUGGAUUAAAUAAACCUUAUCAAUAAUAAUAAUAAUAAUAGCCCAUUAGGAUGGUUAUACAAACAAAACAAGAAGACAGAAAAUGACAAGUGCUGUCCAGGAUACAGAGAAAUUGGAAAUUUUGUGUGCUAUUGCUGAGAAUAUAAAAUGGUGUGGCUACUAUGGAAAAACAGUAUGGCUAUUACUCAAAAGUUAAGAAUAGAAUUACCAUAUGACCCAGCAAUUCUACUGCUGGGUACAUACCCAGGAGAAUUGAAAGCAGUAACUUGAAUCAGUAAUUUAUUUUCACACCCAUGUUCAUAGCAUAUUCAUAACAGCACAAAGGUGGAAACAACCCAAGUGUCCAUUAACAUGGGAAUGGAUAAAGUGUGGUAUAUACGAAAAUGGAAUAUUAUUCAGCCCUAAAGGAAUGAAAUUCUGCAUCUUGAAGACAUUAUGCUAAGUGAAAUUAUACAGGUACAAAAGGACAAAUACUGUAGUAUUUCAUUUAAAUGAGAGGGGAAGUGGGAAGCUGUAGUUCAAUGGGUAAAGAAUUUCAGUUUGAGAAAACUGAAAAGUUCUAGAGAUUAAUAAUGGUGAUUGUUACACAUGAAUGUGAAAAUACAUACAUAAUACUAUUUAACUAUACACCUUAAAAUGGUCAGAACAAAUUUUAUGCUUUAUGUAUUUUAUAACUUAUAAAAAUUUUAUCUAUGUCUCUCCUGAGGGCAGUGGAUUGUCAGAGGAAUCAGUAAGCAGAGGGACACUUCAGGUGACAGUGGUGGCUUGGGCAGGAUAGAACUGUGGGUCCAGGAGCAGUGGAGGUGGUUUUGCCCACAGACCAAACAUGGCUGUGAAAGAGGGUUUCCCAGGGACAUUGUUAGAGAACAGAAAGAUAAAGAUGGCGGGAACAUGAGGUUAAGAGAAUAAUUCUAUAAAAUGGGCCCAUUUUUGCUGACUCUCCACAUGCUAUCUUUUCCAAGAAGCAAUUCACCUGCACCCCUGCAUGGGCCUACGUGAACAUGAUAUGUUACUAUCAUGUUAACUAUCUGUUAACUACAGGAGAAAUGCAGGCCCAAGAUAAUGUCGAUGGAAGAACUCAGGAGGUUUUUUGUGACCAGGUCCUGAAACUCUGGGAGAUAAGGGUAGUUCUUCCUAACCAUAAAAUAUGUAAGAAUGUAUGGUUAAGAUCCAAUUAGAGGGCUGGGGUUGUGGCUCAGCG